GGGCCCACUUGAGCACCUAGGUGGUUGAGAACCGCCACUCACUCUAUCGCAAAGGAGCAGGGGGGGGGACCUGAAAUGGGCCGAGGACAAAAUCGGGCCCUGGCUUCCUCCUGGAAAUGCCGUGGGGCCCUGUAGAAGAGGCAGUCAAUUCAUGUAGAGUACUUCAUACACAGCCUGGCACCCGAAUUGGGCCCACUGUCCUGUCCCAAAGGAGAUGCCUGCCAAAAGGAAGUAGAAGGCUCAAGUCAAGAGAAGACACAGGACUGAUUCAAGGCUGUGGGAGUUCUUGAGCUUUCUCCAUGGGCUCCCAUUUCAGAUGUGAGGGUUAGUGCAAACUCCCAUGGAUGAGCCUGCUGCAGAAUUUUAUAAAAAAUUCUCAAAUCUUCCUGGCCUCAAAUCAUCCUCCGUGAGUGGCUUUGGUGAUUUGGAAACAAUUGAAGUCAUUUGGAAGUAAAUCUGGUGACCAAGGUCUCCUACGUGCUGUUAGCGCUCCGCAGCUCCCCUCCUGUGAAUACCAGGCAGGAGCAGGCAGAGGGAGUGAGAAGCACUCCAACAAGUCAGGGCUACGUUCAAAUUCUGACUCCAGCAAUGACCAGUCAGUGAGACCCGGAGUACAUUACUUGACCACUCUGUGCCUCCAUGUACUCCUAGAGCGUUUCUGAGAAUGAAAAGGAAGAACAUACCUGGUUUUCCUGAAAUAAAUUUGUGGUAGACCGUGCUAAUCCCCAUUCCUCUGAGACGGGGAAGGUUCUGGAAAAUGUGAAGAGCUUCUCUCAUGGUCUCAGUUUGAUAAUGUCUUCAGAAGAAAUAGUACCACCAUGAGGAGGAGUCUUGACAUUUUGUGGCGGGGCAAUAUGGAGCACUUACCAGUGCCCACCUAUUCCCGCUUCCUCGACCUGGCCGCCGACUGCCACCCACUUGCGGCCACUUGAGUUAUAGUCAUCGACAUCUCUUUGCCUUUCCUUCUCCCGGGUCAGCAAGCAGUCAAAAAGCAGGUGUGGUUGGUGCCACAAGGUAGACAAGAAUCCUCAACCCUAUGAGACAGACGCUGAGCGCAUCCAAAUUAUCAUGAAGGGGUCGUUAAAGAGAUCUCACUUCUGGCUUCUGACUAUUUUUGAAGAGACUUAUUAAUUGGCGUGAGUAAUGCUUUCCUUAUAGAUCUCAUAACAUUUUACAUUUGUCUGUCUGUGUUUUCCACUGCUAAGUUUCGGGAGCCAGGACUUGUGUUGACCCCGUUCAGGACCCACGGCACCAACCCUGCAUUCACUGUGCUUCCUGAUCCAUCUGUCACACAAAAAGGCUUGUCUCCUGGGUGCUCCUUUCCAAAGUUUCUCCUCCCGAUGUCAAGGACCGUGAAGAUGACUUAGGAUAGUUGUAUCAGGUGGGAGGAGAUAUAAGCUCUUACUAGACAUUUAGGAAUAGUUAACGAUCAGUCAAAAAUCGAAAUAAAUUAGGAUUCUCUGCCUUGGGUUUACUAGUGGAGGCUUCCUCUUCUCCCUGCUCCAUGGUCCUCUCUCGAAUUCUCUAAGCUGAAUUAGAGUUAGGGUUUGUGGGUUUCUCCUAUCGGGGCUGAGGCUUUUUCUACCAACUCACUCUCUUCUACGUCCUUCUCUGCUGUUUCUUCCUUGCUUCUGUUCAUCGCUUUUUCUUGUCUCCUUUUCUGACACCGGCCUUCUUUCUUGCCUUUUAAUUUCUCAUUUCUCAUCUUUCCCAUAAAAGGACUAAGCUUCAUCGUUGCUGACCAAGUCUAUUUUUUGUUCUCUGUGGGCUUAUGCUGGAACUCUAUUCAAAAACUGCCAGCAUGCACUGGGUCCUGAUAAAACCAUAGAAAGCAGAGAACCCACCCCAAAAAUAAAUAGUCACUUCCUUCUUGGAAAGGCCUUUAGUAGUACAACCAAUACAUCCUUCACCAAAAGCUGUGAAAAGCAAACUAUUUCCAUACCAAAUGAGCUCCCUGAAACGUGCAUCCUGUGCGUGCAAUCAACAAAUAUUUCCGGAGCCUCACGAGGUCAGGCAGUAAGAAAGGUGGUAAGUUCCAGAAGUUCAACUAGUGUCUGUCCUUGAGAAGGUGAGUAAGCCAAAAGGCCCAACAAUGGCAGCUUUUCUCCCACCCCUCCUUCCUUUUUCCCUGCAUGAUCUUCCUCCAUAUCACUUAUCACCAACUGACCUGCCCUACAUUUCCCCAUUUUAUCUUCAGUUUCCCCCAACUAGAAUGCGAGCUCGAGCUCGGUGAGGGAGGGACUUUUGCAUCUUGAUUCGUGGCUGAAUCCCUAGUACCCGAACACCGCCUGGCAUUUCAAGGUCUCAAACAUGUAUGCUGAACAAAUGAAAUGCAGCAUGAUGCAUGCACCAUCAGAAAUGUGGAUGAGGUGCUAUGGAAUUCUAGGAAUCCACUUGAAACUGAGAAUCAUCGUGUGUGUGUGUGUGUGUGUGUGUGUGUGUGUGUGUGUAAAAA